GAAUUGUUCGCAAUGGGCGCAAGCCUGACGACGCAAUGCCGCGUGGAGGAUGAAGACCUUCGGGUCGUAAACUCCUUUCGACCGAGAUGAAUUCCCGCCGACCUAACACGUCGGCGGGGUGACAGUAUCGAGGGAAGCAGCCCCGGCUAACUCCGGUCCAGCAGCCGCGGUAAUACGGGGGGGGCGAGCGUUGUUCGGAAUUACUGGGCGUAAAGGGUUCGUAGGUGGCUUGCUAAGUCAGACGUGAAAUCCCUCGGCUCAACCGGGGAACUGCGUCUGAAACUAGUGAGCUUGAGUGCAGGAGAGGAACGCGGAAUUCCAGGUGUAGCGGUGAAAUGCGUAGAUAUCUGGAGGAACACCGGUGGCGAAGGCGGCGUUCUGGACUGCAACUGACACUGAGGAACGAAAGCCAGGGGAGCAAACGGG
rnacentral:rRNA from 1 species